ensembl:snoRNA SNORA71 Small nucleolar RNA SNORA71
CCCUGUAUAGAAAAUGAUCACGGUGUGUCUGUCGCCGGAUCAUCGAUGGUACAGGAAGAUGAACGUGUGGGCCUUUCCCGUGUCUGAAGGAACCUAUUCCUCUCAGACCCUGGUGCUCUCAGACA